CCAGAGCUGCCUUGGGUGGAAUUAUACAGUCUGACGAUGUAAAGUCAGGGGUCUAUGGGGCUGCACAUAGGAUUAAGUGUGCUGUAACUUGUUCACGGGGUUUCUGGUGAGACUCCAAGAAAACUGUAGGCUUAUGAGCAGAAGAGAGGAAGGUCCAGAGCCGUCGUUAACCAUGUUAGAAUUAUGGUUUCUCUGCUGGUGAAAGGCUUCAGACAGACUCCAUGGUGAGGUAGGGAUUCCUUUUCUUUCUCAUGUACCCAUAAUACCACUCUUUCGUUCCUGCCUCAGUCUGACGAGGUGUCAGAGCUGGGUGAAAUCUCUUUAUGGGAGACAAGUUCCCCUUCUCGCUGACACCAAGCUUUAACCUUUACCUUUUCCCAGCACAGGAUUCCCUAGGGAAAUCCACAUUUCCUGGAGGCCAUUACUCUACCAGUCCAGCGCCUGGGGUGGAGUGAGGGGUGUAUGUAUCUCUUUAGAAUAUCUGUGUUCCUGCUGGGACUGGUACAUUGUUGCGAAGGCCAAAGUUACAUUGUUUGGGAGGCAGACUCUCAUAGUGUUGUAAGCUGUGAUAUCUGAAUGUUCAGAUUUGAGUUUGUUUCCGCCACUUACUAACAAGGUAUUAACCCUCACACCUCACUUGGGACAGAUAGGCAACAAGAGCACUUGUCUGUAUGAUCAUUCUCAAGGUCACAGAUGUUAGCAAUAUGAACGCUUAGAACAACCCAAGUACGUGUUAAAUGGUGAUUUACAAACAACCGAUGUUCCAAGUACAGAGAGCAGAGUGCAGUGUGCAAAGCUUAGCUGUGUCAGUUUACAGACGGUGUGGCAAGCCUUUACAAGCCAUUGCUGUUAAAACGCACUGACUCACAGAGUCUUCAUUGUCAACUUCACAGAAUUCAGAGUCACCAUGGAAACACACCUCUAGGCUUAUCUAUGAGGGCAUCCCCAAACAGGGAUAACCGAGCACUCUGAAUAUGGCCAGCACCUUCCAUGGAGGCGACUCCCUGAGAAAGGGGAAGUUGCAUGAGUACUAGUAUUCAUCUCUUCUUCUUGACUCUAGAUGAAAUGUGACCAGCUGCCUCACUCUCCUGCAGCGCCUUCCCUACAGCGACAGACCAUGCCCUCCCAAAAUGUCCUCCCUACCAAAUGGACCACGCCCUUCAACCUGUGAGCCCAACUAACCCUCCCUUCCUUAAGUUGCUUUUGUCGGGCAUUUCGUCACAUCAAUGAGGAAAAGAACUAAUACAACCUGACCCUCAAAUCCACAAGGUAAGAGAGGAAAACCUGGUGUCUCGCUUUAGUCUCAUUGUCUGUCAUUGUCUGCCUCCUUCAUUUUUGCCUCAGACUUCUGCUGCAUUCUGCUGCCUAAUUGUCAUGCCCUUCAAGGCUGAAGGAAGCCGCAGGGAGAAGUCAUUGUCCUUAACCUUUCUUCCUGAGACUCUUAGAUUCCAAGAACAGCAGGACAGAUCCAUCUACAUCUUUGUAACAAAGGACCGAAGCCACCUCUAGCAGGGAAAGCCCUCAGAACAAACCCCUAAGAUGGGAACCAUCAUCUGCGAUGGAGAGGCUGUGCUCUGGGGAAAUCACCCCCAGAAGGUCACAGAGAUGAAUGGCCAGACUUGCAGGACUGUGGCAGAGAUACUGAUGGGAAGGGACAGACUUUGUCCAGGAUGACUCACUUUGAAUACUUGCCUCGUACUCCAGUCCUUUCUGUGUUUAAACCUAAGCUGUAUCUGUACUCUAAAGACAGAUGUAGAGUCUCUGGGCUUCCUCAUCUGUCUUCCUAGUUGGCCCCAUUGAGUGAGUCUCUACUGUUUGGUUUUCAUCUUUUAACUAGAAUAUUGAAGAAGUGGCGGAGCCUGGCUUGUUGGAGCUACAAAGACUAAGGUGUCUACCCUAAGACCCCAGCCUGAGCAUGGGACAAGCAAGGAGGAAGAUGUCAUUCUGUGCAUUCACCCAGAGGCCAGAGACUGUAGCCAUCUGUUCAGAUGAGGCCUGGCCUCCUCACAAGCACACUGUGGUGCUGUGGCUGUGGGCUGUGGGUAUUCUGGCAUAAUGACGAUCUUCCUUGCACAAACAGAACAGGCUACCUCUUAUGUUGGACCAUAUUCUGUUAUGACUUGGUUUCCAGCCCUCAGAUAACUUCUAAGAAUGGACAGUGAGACAACCAGAGAAGCCAAGUUCAGGAACUAAUGGGUUCUUACGAUGAACAGGAGUAGGUACCUGCCAGAGUUUCAGCUGGAGACUAGGAAUCAGAAUGUGAGUUAUUCCAAUAAGGAACUCCCAACAGCUUCCCUUAGGCGCAAAGCUGUCAGGUGACAAAGGAGCUGGGGGCCACAGGAACAUCACAUGCGUGUCUAGAUGUGCAGAGGAGCCCACUGGCUGAACACAUUAUCUGGCAUGCAUCUGCAGACAUUUCAGCCAGGCAGCACAGAAAGGAGCCAGACCCUCUGUAGAAGGAUGCUGCAACCUGAUCAGGGGCUUUGGAUUCUACUGGACAGAUUUUGAGUGGCUAAAAACAGCCCCCCAACAGAAGCACAGCAGGUUACCCUGAAAGGUCCUGUUCACUCACAGAAGGACUCUCCCAUGCCAUGGUGACAGUGUCUGUGGGCUGUGGCUAGCACACAUCUCUUUGGGUACAGAACUUCUGCUUUGUCAGACUUUGAAAUAAAUAUAUGCACUGAAUGCAGUGUAACCGCUGUGUCAGAA
rnacentral:lncRNA from 1 species